rnacentral:rRNA from 1 species
UACGGAGGGUGCAAGCGUUAUCCGGAUUCACUGGGUUUAAAGGGUGCGUAGGCGGCUUUGUAAGUCAGUGGUGAAAUACUCCAGCUUAACUGGAGGGGUGCCAUUGAUACUGCGGAGCUUGAGUACAGAUGAGGUAGGCGGAAUUGACGGUGUAGCGGUGAAAUGCAUAGAUAUCGUCAAGAACACCGAUAGCGAAGGCAGCUUACUGGGCUGUAACUGACGCUGAUGCACGAAAGUGUGGGGAUCAAACAGG